rnacentral:rRNA from 1 species
GAUGAACGCUGGCGGCGUGCUUAAUACAUGCAAGUCGAGCGAACAGACCAUGAGCUUGCUCCUCUGACGUUAGCGGCGGACGUGCGAGUAACACGUGGAUAACCUACCUAUAAGACUGGGAUAACUUCGGGAAACCGGCUCUAAUACCGGAUAAUAUAUUGAACCGCAUGGUUCAAUAGUGAAAGACGGUUUUGCUGUCACUUAUAGCUGGAUCCCCGCCGCAUUGGAUAGUUGGUAAGGUACCGGCUUACCAAGGCAACGAUGCGUGGCCGACCUGAGAGGGUGAUCGGCCACACUGGAACUGAGCCACGUUCCAGACUCCUACGGGAGGCAGCAGUCGGGAAUCUUCCGCAAUGGGCGAGAACUUGACGGAACAACGCCGCGUGAGUGAUGACGGUGUUCGGAUCGUGAAACUCUGUUAUUAGGGGAGAACAAAUGUGUAAGUGCAUGUAGACGUCUUGACGGUACCUAAUCAGAAAGCCACGGCUAACUACGUG